AGCCCCCACAUAGAUGAGACCCUACAGAGCUCAGUCCCUCCUUGCAGAAGACAUUGUAGUCAAAGACCUAAUGAUCUUGAACAGCUGGGAGUAACUGGAAACACCACCACACUGGCCAGACCAACAGUGUCUUCUGCCUGGAGAACCUACAAACAGGAUCAACAGCAUCUAGUGAUGUACCUGUCAACUGUGGCAUAAUCAGGCUCACCUGAAACAGCACAAAAACAAUUUGGUCUGCUUAUGAGAAGUGCUCGUUACAAGACUCUACACAGGACAGAAACACUGGCCACCUGUGUCAAAGGGAUGGAAGGCAAUGGUGGAUGAGGCUGAAAGAGAUGUCUUGAUUCUAUGAUUCUAUGAUUUGCCGAACAACCAAGUCAUUUUACCAAGUUCCAUCACCAAAGUGCCUCUGGGAAUUAUA